rnacentral:rRNA from 1 species
AGAGUUUGAUCCUGGCUCAGGACGAACGCUGGCGGCGUGCUUAACACAUGCAAGUCGAACGGUGAAGCCCUUCGGGGUGGAUCAGUGGCGAACGGGUGAGUAACACGUGGGCAAUCUGCCCUGCAUUCUGGGACAAGCCUUGGAAACGUGGUCUAAUACCGGAUACGACGCAUCUCCGCAUGGAGUGUGCGUGGAAAGCUCCGGCGAUGCAGGAUGAGCCCGCGGCCUAUCAGCUUGUUGGUGGGGUAAUGGCCUACCAAGGCGACGACGGGUAGCCGGCCUGAGAGGGCGACCGGCCACACUGGGACUGAGACACGGCCCAGACUCCUACGGGAGGCAGCAGUGGGGAAUAUUGCACAAUGGGCGAAAGCCUGAUGCAGCGACGCCGCGUGAGGGAUGACGGCCUUCGGGUUGUAAACCUCUUUCAGCAGGGAAGAAGCGCAAGUGACGGUACCUGCAGAAGAAGCACCGGCUAACUACGUGCCAGCAGCCGCGGUAAUACGUAGGGUGCGAGCGUUGUCCGGAUUUAUUGGGCGUAAAGAGCUCGUAGGCGGCUUGUCGCGUCGGAUGUGAAAGCCCGGGGCUUAACUCCGGGUCUGCAUUCGAUACGGGCAGGCUAGAGUGUGGUAGGGGAGAUCGGAAUUCCUGGUGUAGCGGUGAAAUGCGCAGAUAUCAGGAGGAACACCGGUGGCGAAGGCGGAUCUCUGGGCCAUUACUGACGCUGAGGAGCGAAAGCGUGGGGAGCGAACAGGAUUAGAUACCCUGGUAGUCCACGCCGUAAACGUUGGGAACUAGGUGUGGGUCACAUUCCACGUGGUCCGCGCCGCAGCUAACGCAUUAAGUUCCCCGCCUGGGGAGUACGGCCGCAAGGCUAAAACUCAAAGGAAUUGACGG